rnacentral:rRNA from 1 species
ACGCACGCUGGCGGCGUGCUUCACACAUGCCAGUCGAACGGAAAGGCCCUGCUUUUGUGGGGUGCUCGAGUGGCGAACGGGUGAGUAACACGUGAGUAACCUGCCCUUGACUUUGGGAUAACUUCAGGAAACUGGGGCUAAUACCGGAUAGGAGCUCCUGCUGCAUGGUGGGGGUUGGAAAGUUUCGGCGGUUGGGGAUGGACUCGCGGCUUAUCAGCUUGUUGGUGGGGUAGUGGCUUACCAAGGCUUUGACGGGUAGCCGGCCUGAGAGGGUGACCGGCCACAUUGGGACUGAGAUACGGCCCAGACUCCUACGGGAGGCAGCAGUGGGGAAUAUUGCACAAUGGGCGGAAGCCUGAUGCAGCAACGCCGCGUGCGGGAUGACGGCCUUCGGGUUGUAAACCGCUUUCACCUGUGACGAAGCGUGAGUGACGGUAAUGGGUAAAGAAGCACCGGCUAACUACGUG